AUGGUGUCGAAAUCAAGCAGAGACCCAGAUAUUUUAGCCAAUAUUCAAGGUAAUUAUGCUUCUAAUCUUGUUUGGUUUAUAUCAGGGCUAUUGGGAAGUAAAGGUAAACGGAAAGCACCAAGUGAGGAUUUGAAUGACUUUAGAGAUGAUAUGAAGUUGGAACAAAGACGUAUAACACGAAGUUUUGGAAGCUUGAAGUUUGGGUUAAAGGUUGAAGCAUGA